rnacentral:rRNA from 1 species
AAGCGUACAUGGUGGAUGCCUUGGCAGUCAGAGGCGAUGAAGGACGUACUAACCUGCGAUAAGCCGUGAGCAGUCGGUAAGAGACAUUACGACUCACGGAUUUCCGAAUGGGGAAACCCACUUAGCAUAAGCUAGGUAUCGCUACGUGAAUACAUAGCGUAGCGAGGCGAACCGGGAGAACUGAAACAUCUAAGUACCCCGAGGAAAAGAAAUCAACCGAGAUUCCCUCAGUAGCGGCGAGCGAACGGGGAUUUAGCCCCUUAAGCAUCUUGGAAGUUAGUGGAACGGUCCUGGAAAGGCCGGCGAUACAGGGUGAUAGCCCCGUACACGAAAACAACCUUGAUGUGAAAUCGAGUAGGGCGGGACACGUGACAUCCUGUCUGAAUAUGGGGGGACCAUCCUCC